UUGUUUUUAACUUUUUAAUAAUAAAAAGGAAAAACAAAUUAGGCCAAAAAAAUGGUAACUAUGUCUCAUUAGACUAAUCUCACAUACUUUAUGUCCCACUAGACUAAUUAUUUUCAAAAUGACAAUAAUGCCCUCAAAUUCAAUUAAAAAUUCGAAAUUACAAUUAUCAAAACAAUUGUAAAUAUUAAAAUAUAAUAAAUAGUUAAAGUAAUUAAAAUAAAAGAAAACAUCAAAAAUCCUCGAAUAAAAAAAACUUAAACCUACACUUUAUGUCCUAUGAUUUUUUUUCUUCUGAAAAUUCUAUUUUUUCAUAUAUGGAAACUGAUAUUUCCAAAUAUUUCUUUUUCAUAUUUUUUGAAACUGAUUAUUCUUAUCCGUAGAAUACAAUAAAUUUGUAGAACUCGGUUUCUACAGGUUUUUAGAUUUAUAGUAAUGUGUAGAUUUUGAUUUUUACAUAUUUUAGAUUUACAGUAAAUCUGUAGAACUUGUUUUCUACAAGUUUUAAAUUUAUAGUGAUCUGUAGAUUCCGAUUUCUACAUAUUUUAGAGCGAUAGACUAAGUGCAGAAUGUGUAUUCUAAAUAUUUUUAGAGUACUAUUAUUUAUGUAGAUCAUGUAUUCUAAACAUAGUAGAUUUAAUGAAAAAAAGUGAAUUUUAUUUUCUACUUAGUAGAAUGUCAAUUCUACUUUAUGUAGAACAUAAUUUGAAAUUAUGAUUUAAAUAUUUUUAGAACUGAAAUAAAAUACCACUAAGUUCAUAUAUGUAUUUUAUCAGUAGUUACUAUUUUUCUAAUUUUUUUAGUUUGUAAAACUAUUUAUUUGAUUUUUU